CUCAUUCUGGUCCUGAGAAACUGAAGAGGAGGAAAAAUUUUUUUCCUCUACGCUUUACAGUGAGCGCUUAGGUGAGACCCCUCUUCUCUGAGGCGUCCCCUGAAUAAGGAUAAACUAACCUACGUGAAAAGAUCUCCGUUGUGGCCGCUGUCAUUCAGGAUUAUCUUUGGUAAAGUUAACAUGCUUGUUCGGCCUUAAAACAAAACUGUAUUCACCUCUUGCUGGGCCUAGACUGGCUUAAGUCGAAACCAGUUUGACCGGGAACCAAUCUGGUUUCUACCCGUGCGUGGUCCAAGCCUCCACCCGGUCGGCUUUCUAAGUAGGACCCCAUAAAACCUCAGACCCUUUUGGGUGACUACGUUGGACCACGGCUAACUCCCCGUCGUUUCCAGAACCAGUGAGGAAAGAAAUUCUUAAAUAAAGCCUAAAAGCUCUUCAGACAACAGGCGCGGAGACUCUGACUGACUGACCCACCAGUUCCUAAGGCGACAGAGGCCCUAAGUUCAGGGCUCAGCAGAACUGUGGAGGCGGAAAGGCGGUAUUGGAAUGGCCUUGUCUAUGGAGCCAGGAUGGGGAGUUGGUUUCUAAUUUCUGUAACUUACCAGCUGAGUGACCUUUGAAUAUUAUCGUUAUUGUUGCUGCUCCACACUACAAAUGGCUGAGAAUACACAGAAUCCUCCCCGCCAGGCAGUUUUUCACCUCACCCGGAGCUCUUCUGAACUCCUUUGAAGACAAAAUGGGGUACCAGGUUACCUUUUUCCCUGGAACUCAUCCAAGCUCUUUCCUACCCACUCACAGUAAUACUAUGCAUCCCCCUCCACCCCACUGUCUGGCAUUUCACUACUCAGAGAAAGCUUAAUGCCAUCUGCAAACUGGGAAAUUCAAUUUAGAGAAGCUGAGAAAAUGUGAAAUAUAAUUGAUCUUAGCAUAUUUCCAGUAGA